CUGACAUGUUAAGAUUUUCUUUGUAGGUCUCUCUCCUGUACAAUAACCUCAAUGCUCAUCUUCAGAUUUAGGCAGCGCUGUUAGAGCAGCACGGCACACUCAACACAUGUCCCUCUGGACCCUGACUGAAUGCAAUGACCUUGUGAUGGAUUUCAAGAAUUUUGAGUUGUGUGUUUGUGUGUGCUGUUUGGUCUUUGUUCACAGAGUGUGCUGAAUCGACACAGUCUUGUCAGACAUAGUGAGGCAUCGAUCCAGUAGUGACACCCCUGAUCCCUGGUACACACACACAUCCUCAGAGGUUGGGGGUAUGUGCUGAGAGCUGCAGAGGACUGGAAAUCGCUGAGACAGAGGGAGCGGGCACUCAUGUAUGGAUAAAACAUUGCUUCAUGCUGCAGGGAGAGAAGAGUGUCUCAGUAGACCAGAAACAGGCUGCCAACUCCCCUCACAAAACCUGCAGUGCUGCUAGAGUCCACAGUGACAAUAAAGCCCAAUCCGGAUGGGACUGGCUUUCCCUGAGGAGAGAUAUUGCAAAGUUUGCCGUGAUGCAAAAGAGCUGCUGUUGGCCACCCAGCGAAUGUGAUUGAACCGAGACAAGUAAUUUGCCCAGGUGAAGCUGGACCCUUCAGAAACAAAUGUAAUCCACUGCAUCUACAGGGGCUCAGAUGUCGGGAGUAAAUAAUGACUUCUAUGUUAAUUAUUACAUCCAACAACAGAACAUCUCAAUCACAUAGGAGUCAUUCUUGUCUACAUCUGCUCCGGCAGUGAAACAAUGGUGGACUGAUGGCGGCUCACUCAGGGUGGGUCUAAGGUAAGAUGCCAGUCCAGUCUUUGCUGAAACGCUACUGUCAAUCAAACUAUCGUGGGAGGGGCCUGUCUGUGUGAUGUCAUAAAGACAGGCAUCUGAGAUUGGCUCGAUUUGAGAAAGGGCCAAAAAUUUUAGUAGAUUAAAAGAAAACACUGGGUGGAUUUUUAUCAUUAUAGUGUGGUUGUGUACACACACUGCCAACACACAUUUCAGUUCAAACAGCUUGUAGAAGCGCAUGUAGCAUCCAAUGACCCCUUUAACAACUACCUUACUAACUAUUAAUAAGCAGCAAAUUAGGAGUUUAUUGAGGCAAAAGUCAUAGUUAAUGAUUUGUUAACACUGAGAAUUUACUAAAAUAAAGUGUGACCAAAUUAUUUUGUUCUAUAAAUA
ensembl:lncRNA